AGCAGAGCAGCUAGUUGUACAGAAGUGAGUUUCUAGUGAGUUCCUGUCUCUAUCUCUGCAGGCUGGAGGGGUGUGAUCUCACAGGGGAUUGCUGUGAGGACCUGGCCUCUGCUCUCUGUACAAACCAGUCAACCCUGAGAGAACUGCAGCUGAGAGGGAAUAACCUGGGGAAAUCGGGAAUGAAGCUGACUGCUGCACUGAAGCAUCCAAACUGUAAAUUAGAGAAACUGGGGUGUAAGCAGUCCAGUCAGGAGGGAAACAGGAGCUGCAGAGAUCUACAGACUGGAUUCAGCAUCUCCACAUUGUGAGGCAAAAAGAGACACAGAGACUGGAUAGUACAGCAGUAUAUAGCCCAAUUGUGACAGGGAGGCCAUCCCUCCCAUUUAACAUAUAUGUCUGUAUUCUGUUGCUCAUCUAGUAGGACACUUGAAAGCUCUUGGUACCUGUGGCAGGGUGUAACCCUUUCCGGGAUAUUGAAAACUCUGUCUAUCUGUGGCAGGGUGUAACCCUUCCCGGGAUAUUGAAAACUCUGCCUAUCUGUGGCAGGGUGUAACCCUUCCCGGGAUAUUGAAAACUCUGCCUAUCUGUGGCAGGGUGUAACCCUUCCCGGGAUAUUGAAAACUCUGCCUAUCUGUGGCAGGGUGUAACCCUUCCCGGGGAAAUACGCCGUAGCGUGUUUAUUUACAAAAAUAACAGUGGCACGAGGGCCAAAACAAACAUACAUAUUUCAAACAAAUCACGUCUAGACCUUGUCCAGCACAAGUAGCAAUUGUUAUCUGUUUUUCUGAGCUUUCGCUUGCUCCUUCUCUGUUCUUUCACUCCCCUCUCUGAGCGGCUGCUUCGCUCUUUUAUAUUCAUGGACAUCUCCACAUUGGUAAUCACUUAAGCAAUUUGGAGAUGAGCACAUUACACACGAGUCUAGAAGGAUGGGGAAUUUAACCCCAUCCAUGCUGCAAAACAACAAUUAUUAUUAUUAAAAUAAACACAGACAAUCUCCCAGGAAGGGUACCACCCUGCGCCCAUGUAAACGUAGAUUUCAUGACAGUAGACCUCAUACCCCUCCACUUUGCUGGUGGUGAUAUAAUAGUCAUGCGUCUGUAUCUUGUGUUUGAAGCACUGCCCUUCUCCAUGUUACUAUGAAUGCAAGUGCCGACCAAACAACCUUCCCCAUAUCCACAAUAUCUGUUCCCAGAGUAACAAACACCAUAUCAUGAUCUGAAAACCAACUAAGCAAAAUCAGCCCACUGCCCUCCUCCCCUUCAAAAGACUGUGUUAUGCAAUGGAAUCUGCAAUUCUACACAACAGACUGUUAUUCUAGUACAUUGUAAAGAUUCAUAUGACCGCACUGUUGGGAGUCCACCUGUCAUGCAUCUUUCCCUUAUGAAGCUCAUAGGGUUUUUUGUUUUUCCUCUCCUGAGUGCAGGCCACACUUGGACCAAGACAGAAUAAACAAGCUUUGUUUAUUGAUACUAUUUUUUUUGUUGUUGUUGUUGUUAAAGCUUUAUCCUGUAAGCGUUUGUGGCAAUGUAUUGUGAAAGGCGCUAUAUCAAAUAAAGAUUGAUUGAUGUACCUAUGUCUCACGAUCAACCACACAUAUCCACUUCCUCUAAUGUUGCACCGCAUGCAGAUCCCCACAUCCUACCCACCAACCUGACAGCACAUCAAACAUGUGGAUGCCCAUGGCAGUUGAAUUUGGUCGGCUGGGGUCGCCGCUGGGGAAUACGGCCUGCCUGCUACUGGCCCAAGUUGCCACUGGUGGGCCUGAGGAAGCCUCUGUUCCCACCCCAGGACUUUGAAAGGGACUUUUGGAGUUUUAAGGGAGAGGUGGCCAUUGGGCCAUGUGUACUGCGCACAAAAGUGUGAUGGGGUGCCCACCCCUUGUGUAUAUUUAUAUAUUAUUUUGUACUAUUGUUAUUAUUAAUAUAAUAUUGUGUUUGUGUGCAGGCAUAUGAAACCGUUCAUUAUUAUUAUGUGGCCGGCGAAAAGCCGGCAUUAUUGUUAUUAUUUGGCAAGGAUGGGAUUACUUCCCCAUCCUUAAAUAAUCGUGUGAGAAUGUGGCUGGAGCCUUAAUAAGGUAGUUGUUUGAUCAAUGGGUAGUUAAGGCUCCAGCCCCAGGAUCUAAAAGAGACCGUCUCGGCUCAUUAGAGAGAAGAGAGUUGAGAGGAGUGAAAACAAAGAGACAACUGCUACCGGUGUCAGUAUUGCAGAAGGUACUCGUUUUUGGGUAAAAGAGUUAUUUGUCUGUUUUGUUUUGGCCCAGGCGCCCUUUUCUUUGCUGCUUUUGUAACUGUGUUAUUGUUAUUUAAUAAAUAUACGGCUGUGGCCGUUUUAGCCGUG